GCCGGUGUGGUGGAAUUGGUAGACGCAGGGGACUCAAAAUCCCCCGGGCCUCGCGCCCUUGUGAGUUCGAGUCUCACCACCGGCACCA
rnacentral:tRNA from 1 species